GGGGAUUUAGCUCAGUGGCACCGCAUAUGCCUCCAAAGCAUAAGGUCCUGAGUUCAAUCUCCA
rnacentral:tRNA from 1 species